rnacentral:rRNA from 1 species
GACGAAAGCUGGCGGCGUGCUUAACACAUGCAAGUCGAACGGUAAGGCCCUUCGGGGUACACGAGUGGCGAACGGGUGAGUAACACGUGGGUGAUCUGCCCUGCACUUCGGGAUAAGCCUGGGAAACUGGGUCUAAUACCGGAUAGGACCACUGCCUGCAUGGGUGGUGGUGGAAAGCUUUUGCGGUGUGGGAUGGGCCCGCGGCCUAUCGGCUUGUUGGUGGGGUGAUGGCCUACCAAGGCGACGACGGGUAGCCGGCCUGGAGAGGGUGACCGGCCACACUGGGACUGAGAUACGGCCCAGACUCCUACGGGAGGCAGCAGUGGGGAAUAUUGCACAAUGGGCGCAAGCCUGAUGCAGCGACGCCGCGUGAGGGAUGACGGCCUUCGGGUUGUAAACCUCUUUCAGCACCGACGAAGCGCAAGUGACGGUAGGUGCAGAAGAAGGACCGGCCAACUACGUGCCAGCCGCCGCAGUAA